CGGGGAGCGCAGGGAGCUGCCCGGGUUUUAUACCAUCGCGUUGGUAUUUCACCGCCACAAAGAGCAGCGCAGGGUCUGGGAGGAAGAGCAGGGGCGCCCUUCAGUCUCCUGGUGGGAGGAGGAGGCGGAUCCCGGGAGGGGUCGGCUCAGCUCUCCGUCCCGCUCAGGGCGCACGCUGGAUCGGUCCCGAGGCGCCGAGCGUGGCAGCGGUCCCGCGGGGCGCUGGCGCUGGCCGCGGCUGGCCGGGCCGAGACCCGACGGGUGUCGCCCGAGGCCAGGUCUCUGCUCCUGCGAGGCGGCGUGCGGCGCCCGGCUCUGGGGAGCGGACUGCGCGCGACCCCCUGGUGCGGCCUGGGGGUGCCCUGGCGGGCUGGAAGAGGCAGGUGCUGCGUCCCUGAGCCACAUCCCCGGCCUGCAGAGGGCUGUCUUGGGAGCCCUUUUGCCCACUUUCCUGGUAGAACACAGCUCAUACUGGACAUAUAGCAGGUUGGGAGUUUCAUCUCUCUGUAUCAUUUGGAGGUCCCACCAAGAUCAUUGACGGAGAAGAGUGUUAACAGAUGUCUCCAGGCAUGGUGGCAGAUGUCUAUCAUCCCAGCACUCAGGAGGCUGAGGCAGAAGGAUUUCCAUGAUAAGGGCUGGGCUCCACGGAAAGACCUGUCUCAAAAAAAAGAGGUGUGAAGUGAC